UAAAUAUAUCUACUAAACAUAAUGCAAUAUGUAAUAAAAAUAGAAAAUAUGGGGCAAAUGGAACACUAGUGAGGGCAUGAGCUAUAAAGCUAACUCACAGUAAGAUUGCCUCUGGGAUUACAUGGCGGCCACUCCACUCAAAAAGGCAGGUAUAAUACCACUUCUUCAGUCUACCAUUAAGAGUAGCCUCACCAAAGAAAAAAAUGCAUAGUAUAGUAACACACAUACAGUAUAAUAAAAUAGAAAAAAACAACUUGGUUCACUCACAUGGUAUAGAGCCUGCAAACUGGCGGUUUUAUUAUACUGUGUAGCGCUGUUGAGAAUAUUGUGCUCACAUGAAUUUCACAC